CCACGGCGGCAUCUACCUCGAUACGGACGUAAUUGUACGCCGCUCACUGGCCGCGCUGGACGAUGGUGCAGGCCUGGAGUCGGAGCGAGCCGUGGCGUCGGGUGUGCUCAAGUUCAGCCGCGACUCGGCCGUGCCGCGGCUGCUGGCAAGCUGCCUGACAGAGGGUUACGACCCGUACAACUGGGGACACAACGGGCCCGGCGUCGUCACCGAGGUGCUCAUCGAGGGCUGUGGCCUCCGACACCCGCCGUUGACGACCACCCACUGCGGAAACUACACCAUCUACGGACGGCAGUGCUUUUACGCCAUCCCAUGGGAAAACUGGAGCCUGUUUCUGGAGCUGGACGCGCGGGACGCCGUGUUGGAGCGCGUGAACG